UAGUAUCUUACCAUUAAAGCAUCAACUCACUGGAGCACUUUGUAGUUACUAACAAGUUCAAGCAUGUGAUCUGGCUUCCUCUCUCUAUCCCAGAUACUUCACGGGACAGCCCGAGCCCACCUGUGGAGCAGGGUGGUGUCUUGUAUCUAGGGAUCAGUAGCUCAGUGUGGGUGGUGAGAAAUACACCAGGUCUUCUCACUCCUGGUCUGAUUAAAAUCCCAAGAAUCAGAAGGGUGAGGGAAAGUAAUUAACUUUAUUAGAUGG